rnacentral:hammerhead_ribozyme from 1 species
CACUGGUUAAGAGCUGGUGCACUCUUCUGAUGAGUCUAAGAUAGGACGAAACCAGUG